GUGAGAUAAUAGUAAAUAAAUAACCACCUCAUAAAAAAAAUGGGUCCGGUGUGUUCCACGGCGGCACAGAUCGCAAGCUCGGUUAAUCGGUGACGCUGGGCCGUAUACAGCCUCAUGCUCCGACUUGCCGUACCGUCUACUGCAAUGAUCGUGAGAUGCUAAUUACGCCGUCCGUUUCAAGGGUAAUUCAAUUUCUACAACAAAGUAUAAUGUUUGAACAAAUUAAAAGAGAUGGCUUAUUUUUUCCAGCUGAUCUUCUUUUCCUGUCCAGCACAAAUUCUGAUGGUAUCUGCUACGUAGAGUGUUGUUGUGCGUGCAGACUGCCGACCUAGAUCUAGAUGGGGAAACAAAUUUAAAAAUCAGAAAGGCCCUUGAAAGGACAUGGGAUUACUUGACAUCUAAGAAAGCUUCAGAAUUUGAAGGCAAAUUCAGUGUGAGCAACCAAAUAAUUCUCUGUACACUUUCACGGGGAAUCUUAUAAUAGAAAUGCAGACUUUACCUCUCUCUCCAGACCAGCUUUUAUUGCUUGUAUGAUCAACUGCUUUAUUUUGCUUUUAGCUUUGCGUUCCUUUUCUGCCUUUUGUCUCCUUAUAUGUUUGGGGUCUGCAAUUGCAUGAACACUGAAUACAUUGUUGGGGCUGCGAUUUUUACUGGUCAUGAGACAAAGGUAAGCUUCUAUUCAGCUCGUUUGAUGAUAAACUAGCUUUGCAAACUUUGUUGUACUGGCUAGCAUUCAGGAUUUUGUAGUUGAAGAAGAAGAAGAAGAGAGAAAAUGGUGGAGCGAAGAAGAUACACAAUCCAUAGAUGUAUGUAAAAUAAAACCUCAUUCUUCUUACACGCAGAUCUCGUACUUCUCCGUUCAUUGACUGAAGUUGUAAUUUGAAUUUUGACAACUUGAGCACCUCCAUUUUUUCAUUUUUUGUUUCUUCCUCUGAAUUUGUAUUUCGACCGCCAGAAAAUCUCUUCUUUGUUUUUUUUUUCCCGAGAAAACAAUGUCAACUAGAGGGAAAUUAGGUCGUCGGAAUUGUCAAACUAAUGAUAGUUUAGAGAAGUUAUAGAUUCUAUAUGGGCCUCAUAAAAA